CCUUCUGCGGUUGCCUGUGUUCAGAGUCACCUUCUGCGGUUGCCUGUGUUCAGAGUCACCUUCUGCGGUUGCCUGUGUUCAGAGUCACCUUCUGCGGUCGCCUGUGUUCAGAGCCACCUUCUGCGGUCGCCUUGUCCUCCCCCAGUUACCAGCUGUUCUGAAAGGUGUGUGUGUGUGUGUGUGUGUAUGUGUGUGUGUGUGUGUGUGUGUGUGUGUGUGUGUGUGUGUGUGUGUGUAAUGGAUGUCAGGGAGGUUUACCCUGUAAUGGAUGGGAUCAUUACUCUUUUAUGGAAUGUACAAUGUGUGGUUAAGGUUAGGGCAAUGGUUUAGGACCGCUAAUAAACAACUAUGCGCUAUUUCCAUCAGCUAUCAUCGUCUUCGUAUUCUCGCGGUUUGCUAACAUGUUGUGAACUGCCGUAGUAGCGGCAGUGGUCUGAGCAGUGCACUUUGGCUCUGAGCAUCAUGUGUUCGCGUCCAGUGCUGAGCAAUACUUUUUUCUACAAAUUUGUGAUUCUCCAAACAACGACGUUCUCAGGACAUUUUCAACCGUUCAGUCUAUUUCUAGUGAUCAGGAUGCUAGCUGCUUCUAUUCCUUCUCCCCGGGGUGUGACACGUCUUCAAUUGUAACAGCAUACUAACCUAAUUACUUUAGUGCUCCUGAACCACCACAGACAAACGUGAACAUUGGCCACACUAAAAUUAGGACUUAAUACUACCUGCCUAGACAGGAAGAUUAGGGAUCGCUCAGAAAGCAUGGUGUAUUCGCGUGUGUGUGUGUGUGUGUGUGACCCCUCCCUCUGAGGAAUGCAGUCACAGACAGACCCUCUCACAUACACCCGCGCACACACACCCUCUCACACCCUUUCACAUACACAAGCAUGCCCACCCACACUUGCACCCGCACACACACCCUCUCACACACACCCGCGCACACACCCUCUCUCACACACACACACACACACACCUUUUCUCUUUGUGUUACUGCAGUACAAUGAUAGCCACUCGUAUGGCUCCACCUCCAGAUUACUCUGGUUCUCUCACUCCCCAGUCCAACUGUCUGGUUCUCUCACUCCCCAGUCCAACUGUCUGGUUCUCUCACUCCCCAGUCCAUCUGUCUGGUUCGCUCACUCCCCCAGUCCAACUGUCUGGUUCUCUCACUCCCCAGUCCAACUGUCUGGUUCUCUCUCUCCCCCAGUCCAACUGUCUGGUUCUCUCUCUCCCCCAGUCCAACUGUCUGGUUCUCUCUCUCCCCCAGUCCAACUGUCUGGUUCUCUCUCUCCCCCAGUCCAACUGUCUGGUUCUCUCUCUCCCCCAGUCCAACUGUCUGGUUCUCUCUCUCCCCCAGUCCAACUGUCUGGUUCUCUCUCUCCCCUAGUCCAACUGUCUGGUUCUCUCUCUCCCUCAGUCCACCUGUCUGGGUCUCUCACUCCCCAGUCCAAAUGUCUAGCCAACAGCUCACACAAUACUUUAUUUGGUUGUUUACUGAGGUCAAGCGUGUGUGUGUGUGUGUGUGUGGGGGGUGCGCGCGUUGGUGAUAAAAGUCAGUCAUAAACUUAGUCGCUUUAGCCUGUCAAUUAAAUUACCUAUCUUUCUGUGCUUAUCGUGCCUGCGUGUCCGGUCUGUGUGUGUGUUUGUGUGUAGGUGUGUGUGUGUGUGUGUGUUUGGGUAGGUGUGUGUGUGCUUAUCGUGCCUGCGUGUCCGGUGUGUGUGUGUGUGUGUGUGUGUGUGUGUGUGUGUGUGUGUGUGUGUGCUUAUCGUGCAUGCGUGUCCGGUGUGUGUGUGUGUGUGUGUGUGUGUUUGUGUGUAGGUGUGUGUGUGUGUGUGUGCUUAUCGUGCCUGCGUGUCCGGUGUGUGUGUGUGUGUUUGUGUGUAGGUGUGUGUGUGUGUGUGCUUAUCGUGCCUGCGUGUCCGGUGUGUGUGUGUGUGUUUGUGUAGGUGUGUGUGUGUGUGUGUGUGUGUGUGUGUGUGUGUGCUUAUCGUGCCUGCGUGUCCGGUCUGUGUGAUAGUCCUGAUAUUGUCGGUAUGAUGCAUAGCCGGUAUCUUGAUGGUUGAGAUUAGAUUCUCAGGGGGAAUCUGCUCUCUUUCUGAUCUCCAUAUCUACAUACUCUUACCUGUCCUACUUGGCAAAGUCUCACAGAUGGACAUUUUGCCAUGACAAAGUGUUUUGCUGGUACUGGUAGGAUUUAAUCAUUUGAUGUUGGUCAUCAGUUCACCGUGCAGUGAGUGUGUUGGCGCUAUCUUUGAUGACAUCACUAUGUGAGGCUCUUCUCACUACACUCUUUUUUUAAAAGCAUUCCAAAGGGCUUCUUCUGGUGUCCCCAUAGGAGAACCCUUUUUGGUUCCAGGAAGAACCCUUUUUGGUUCCAGUUUGAACCUUUUUGGGUUCCGGUAGAACCUUUUUGGGUUCCAUGUAGAACUGUCUUUUUCACUCUCUAUUGUUCCUUUUGGCAUGACCUGACUUGGUUUUGUUUAGACAACAAUAGUCAGUCCAUUGUUGAGUUCAGGCAAAGAGUUUAACUGAAUAACGUAGAAGUAACAAGGGCUGCUCGCUGCAUUUGGUUUGAUGUACCACACUUGUGUGUGUGUGUUGAAUGGGAGGGUCCUUCUUAAAGGUGUGUUUGUGUACUCAGGUACGAUAGGUUAACGGUUCGCCACACACCCACCUGGCACUGUGUGUCCCUGUGCCCAUAUAUGGCCAUAGCUUCCUCUACCUGGUCCCUCUCUGUGCUUUGUGUUCCAGUGAGACACAGAGCUGGGAAGAGACGUGAAAGUGGAAGCAUGUCGUGGAAAGCAGGAUGAAUGAGUGAGGCCUGAGAUCCGUGUUUGAAGACGUGUUUUUAAUCAGGUAGCUAGGACUCCCCCAGGUACAUAGUAAGUUUUUCGGAUGGGACUCAGUAAUCAGUUGGUGUAAUCAGUGGAACUAUCUUUAACCCCCCAUUGACCACACUCACAAGAGACUGAACACUUUUUCUGGCUGAUAUUGCUACUAUGGGAACUCUCAUCAAUUGUACUUUUUAAAGGAAAUUGAUUGGAAAUGUAUGUAUGGCCAGUCAGUCAGCUAUUCAGGUUAGAAUGAAGUCUGCGGAAAGUUUAAGGAAGGUAGAAUGUGUGUCUGUCUCUGAUAGAGAGUUCCCCUUCUGAAAGGUGCCUGAAGGUGCCUGAAGGCGUGGCUUUACGUCGUUCAUUUCUUUAACAGGUUUUAAACCAACACACCCUCUAUGGAUAACAAUCACUACAGUAGUAGGAUCAUACUUACCUGGCAAGGAUCAUACUUACCUGGCAAGAGAGGUACCGUGAUCAAGAAGGUGGUUCACCCAGGGCGAGGCUCAGCAAUUGCACUCCGACUGUACUGACCCCUCCAAAGUUCCUAAAUGUGGAAAUCUCGAUUGCAUCAUUUCUGGACUGUGUUCGGGCUCCCCUGUUAAAUGUUUUUUAAACAUCAGUAGGGAAGUGUGUGCUGUUACGUCUCUAUGGGGCAGUGUAAGAGAGAGAGAGAUGGGGGAGCUGGGAAUCUAAAACAAUGGGA
ensembl:lncRNA